rnacentral:rRNA from 1 species
UACGGAGGAUCCAAGCGUUAUCCGGAUUUAUUGGGUUUAAAGGGUGCGUAGGCGGCCUAUUAAGUCAGGGGUGAAAGACGGUAGCUCAACUAUCGCAGUGCCAUUGAUACUGUAAGUCUUGAAUUCGGUCGAAGUGGGCGGAAUAUGACAUGUAGCGGUGAAAUGCUUAGAUAUGUCAUAGAACACCGAUAGCGAAGGCAGCUCACUAGGCCUGGAUUGACGCUCAGGGACGAAAGCGUGGGGAGCAAACAGG